UUUUUAAAGAAUGAACAGCUAAUUGGAUUGCAUUAGUGAAAAUAAAGUUAACAUAAUUGAUUCACAUUGAGUUUGGACUAAAAUAAUUCCACAAGAAUUAAAAAAUAAUAAUGAAAAUAAGGGUAGAUGUCACUGUAAUAUUAUCAGUAAUGGCAAUCAACCAAAGAAGAAGCCGAGAAGACAAGAACUUGUUCCUUGGACCCAAAGUGAAAAUUCAAUUCUUGGAGAUCAUCUUCUCGUGCAGGAAGAUUAAGGUCUAACUGCAAACUAUUCCGUGGUUUCUUGGAUUCUUGGGACUCAGGACUACUUGUAACCAAGCUCCUCGUCGUUGUUGUCGUUGAAGAAGGAGCAAACGCCGCCCUAUGACGCCGCAUAUGACCGCCUAAGGCCUGACCGGAGGAGAACUCAGCCCCGCAUAUAGAACACUCAUGAACCUUGUUAGAUUUGAUAUUUAUUGGCAUCUGCAAUGAAAGGGCUGUGCUCAUAUUGUUAUGAAGUUGACGAUCUUCCUCUUCUUCUAUCACUUUGUUGUCUUCAUUGUAAGCCUUGUUACCGGGCUUCUUAUGACUCGCUCUGUGUCCACCAAGAGCUUGAAACGAAGGAAAGCACCGGUUACAAGUCUUGCACUGGUAAGCGUAUGAAGAUCCUGAUGAUGCCUUGUUAGCAGCAGCAGUAGCAGUACUCGUAGCCCUAGCCGCUGCCGCCGCCGCAGGCUCAGAUAAUUUUCGACUCUGGUGGUGGAGGCUACCUUGAGCUAAAAGGAUCAAGCAAUUAGCCAUAUCUUCUUCUUCCCCACCAAUACUUUCUGCAAAUUCAAUAGAGGUGCUAGGAGACGUGGAAGAAGAGAUGUUAUUGUCAAUUCUUUCAGCACCGCUAUCUCCGCCACUGGAAGAGCUAGAAGUGAAGGCUAACAUGAGAGGGGACGUCUGCCGAUGACGCUUGGUGCGCUUGCUUUUGAUAGAAUCCACUAUUUCUUGUUGAGCAUCCAUGAAGAGAAUGAUAUAAGGUGGUAGGUUUUGGGAGAUAGAAAGAUUGGUGUUUUGAAGUGUAGAAUAUGAAGGUGAAUAUAUUUUCUUGCUGGCGAGUCUUGGUUUUCCAAUCUUGGAAGUUUACUAAAGAGUUUGUAUACAUAAAUAGGCAGAAGAUGCAGAAGGAUAGAGAGAGAAAGAGAGAUGAGAAAGAAGCAAUGGCAAGUAUGAGGAGAGGAGGAAACAAGUGAGAUUCGGUUGGCUUUGAAGCAAACCCAUUACUUUUUCUAAACAAUUCCUUUCUGGAGGAUUGGUU
rnacentral:misc_RNA from 1 species